GUGGGGAAUAUUGGGCAAUGGGGGAAACCCUGACCCAGCGACGCCGCGUGAGGGAAGAAGGCCUUAGGGUCGUAAACCUCUGUUGUGUGGGAAGAAGAGCGUGACGGUACCACAUGAGGAAGUCCCGGCUAACUACGUGCCAGCAGCCGCGGUAAUACGUAGGGGACGAGCGUUGUCCGGAUUUACUGGGCGUAAAGGGCGCGUAGGCGGUCAUUUAAGUCAGCUGUGAAAUGGUUUGGCUUAACCGGAUCAUGCGGUUGAAACUGGAUGACUGGAGUGCUGGAGAGGCAAGUGGAAUUCCCAGUGUAGCGGUGAAAUGCGUAGAUAUUGGGAAGAACACCGGUGGCGAAGGCGACUUGCUGGGCCGUAACUGACGCUGAGGCGCGAAAGCGUGGGGAGCGAACAGGAUUAGAAACCCGAGUAGUCC
rnacentral:rRNA from 1 species